CCCCCCCCCCGCAGAGGCUUUCCCCGCAGGCCCAGCCGGCGCCCUCGCCCUCCUGUCCCACCCUCCUCUUCUCGGCUGGCGGUGGCGUCUCUGAAAGUUGUGCUGAAAACCCAGAGGCCGUGACAUGAUUAAUCGUUUUCUUCUGAUCUAAUUUUGGAACAUGAAAAACAGCACAUUUGUCUUGAAGAAAAAUGAUGUGCCGAACCGCGCAGAUGGAAAUUUCGAGCAAUGAGAAAGAUUAAAGUGAAACCCCACUCCUUAGACCUAA